CAUACCCUUCUCUAAGGAAUAGUCUCGGGAAACUGAGGGUAAUACCUUAUACGCCCUUCGGGGGAAAGAUUUAUCGGAGAUGGAUUGGCCCGCGUUAGAUUAGAUAGUUGGUGGGGUAAUGGCCUACCAAGUCUACGAUCUAUAGCUGGUUUUAGAGGAUGAUCAGCAACACUGGGACUGAGACACGGCCCAGACUCCUACGGGAGGCAGCAGUGGGGAAUCUUAGACAAUGGGCGCAAGCCUGAUCUAGCCAUGCCGCGUGAAUGAUGAAGGUCUUAGGAUUGUAAAGUUCUUUCGCUGGGGAUGAUAAUGACAGUACCCAGUAAAGAAGUCCCGGCUAACUCCGUGCCAGCAGCCGCGGUAAUACGGAGGGGACUAGCGUUGUUCGGAAUUACUGGGCGUAAAGCGCGCGUAGGCGGACCAGCAAGUUAGGGGUGAAAUCCCGGGGCUCAACCCCGGAACUGCCCUUAAAACUGUUGGUCUUGAGUUCGAGAGAGGUGAGUGGAAUUCCGAGUGUAGAGGUGAAAUUCGUAGAUAUUCGGAGGAACACCAGUG
rnacentral:rRNA from 1 species